UCUGCACCGACCUUCCCCUGUCUGUCUCCCAUCGCCAGGCGGCAGGGAGGGCGCUGCCCGGACGCUUUGGAAUUCCUUCGGGGAUGGAAGGCUGCAUACAGUCAGGCCUGGGCUGUUUAAGGACGGAGUCCGGUACCCAGAGAGCAGGACGAGCACUGCGGCCUGAGUGACAGGCAUCUGAUUCUCAUUAGCCGGAGCCUCCAUGGGCCGGGCUCCUGGGCCCUCUCUGAAUCUAUGCACAGAGCUGGCCCUCGCAGGGUGCAGCCGGUCAGCUGCCUGCCCCCCUACCACUCCCUCCCAACCCACACUGCAGAUGGAGCAGACCCAUAUCAAGAUUGUUUUGGACAUUUAAAUCCUGUUUAAUGAUUAAAGAAACUCCCUGAGCUAAAUGCUGCUGACGUUACAGAGUUUAUUACCCAGCGCUGCGGAGGAGAAGGGGGAGAUCUGAAUUCUCAGGCCGGGAGAAGGAGGGCUGGACAAUAAAUGUUUAUUACCAUCACUUGGACAGCAAGCAAGGCCUGUCUUGAUCCCUUUUUUUGGUACCAAGGGUGUUGCUGACUUUUUCUUACAUACCCUCAAAACAGCCUCAUGGACUAUGCUAACACUGUUGGUGGAGGUACAGCUUGGUAAAUCCACUUUGGAAAACUGUUUGGCAGUUUCCAAGCUGCACAUGUGCAUGGCUUAUAACCCAGCAAUUCCACACCUUUAUGUGUACCCAGCAGAGAUGUGUGCAUGUGUUUGCCAAAACAUUAGCAGCGUGGCAGUGAUAGGAACUACCACCUUUUAUGUGAGUAAGUAAAUUGUGUCAUGUUUACAAGUGCAGUGUCUGCAGUACGGAAGAAUGAGUGCAUUUCAUAAACAUGUGUAUUGCUGAACCAGAUGCAAGAGGCAAACUGCGUGAUUCCUGUUCGGACUCUAGGCCCUGGAGGCUAGGGCCAUGCAAUCCCUAACGGCCAUCUGCAAGCUUCCCACCAUAGGAGAACAGAGGCCAGGACAAGCUCUCUGGCCACCAGGCUCAGGCCGUACGAGGAAUGGGAACUGUCCUGAAGACCCCCGAUCGCACACCUGCAUUCCCCCCGGUUCCAAACCCAGCUCAGACCCAACCCACUGAGGACAAGAGCUUCCUGCCAGUGACUGCACAUGAGGAUGAAACCCCAGCUCCUGGGGCUGCCAGCAUCGCCCAGUGUCCCCUUGGCUCGGGGCUGGGCAGCCCUUCCCUUUGGAUAUCCCACUCCCCAUCUCCUUCCCUUAAAUAAAUUCAAUUUUUCUUUAUCCUC